rfam:Camelus ferus unplaced genomic scaffold scaffold51476, whole genome shotgun sequence.
GAGGGUAUAGCUCAAAUGGUAGAGCUCAUGCUUAGUAUGCAUGAGCUCCUGGGUUCAAUCCCCAGUACCUCCA